UUAAAAAAUGUUUUGCCGAAGACAGUAGGGGCGAAAGCUUAAUAAUCCUACCGAGGGAAACUUAUAAAAUACUUAGGUUAAUUAUAAGCUUUUCCUCAUUACUCGGAGAAGCUUUUUUAAAU
rnacentral:sRNA from 1 species